UACGUAGGUCGCAAGCGUUGUCCGGAUUUACUGGGCGUAAAGAGCGCGCAGGCGGCUGGUCAAGUCCGAUGUGAAAUCUCCCGGCUCAACUGGGAAACUGCAUCGGAAACUGAUCGGCUUGAAGAUGGGAGAGGGUAGUGGAAUUCCCGGUGUAGUGGUGAAAUGCGUAGAUAUCGGGAGGAACACCAGUGGCGAAGGCGGCUCUCUGGAACGGUACUGACGCUGAGACGCGAAAGCGUGGGGAGCGAACAGG
rnacentral:rRNA from 1 species